AGGGCAGACAUAUGAACGAAAGGCAAUUCAAGAAUGGCUUGAUAGAGGAAAUUCAACAUGCCCAAUUACUCGCCAGAAGUUGCAUAGCACCCAACUGCCUAAGACAAACUAUGUGCUCAAAAGGCUUGUUGCAAGUUGGCAGGAACAGAAUCCUAAUUUCAUAUCAAACCAAUCUGAAACUCCACAUCAGAAGACUGAACCGAGCUUUAAGUCAACAAUAAUG
rnacentral:misc_RNA from 1 species